UGGUGGAGUGAUUUGUCUGGUUAAUUCCGUUAACGAACGAGACCUCAGCCUGCUAAAUAGUUGGCAUAAUCCCUCGUGGAUUGUCGCCGACUUCUUAGAGGGACCUCCGGAUUCCAAGCCGUGAGGAAGUUUGAGGCAAUAACA
rnacentral:rRNA from 1 species